rnacentral:rRNA from 1 species
UUGAUCUCAAAUCAGGUAGGACUACCCGCUGAACUUAAGCAUACA